UACACUCCUGCGGGAGGCAGCAGUAGGGAAUCUUCGGCAAUGGGGGCAACCCUGACCGAGCAACGCCGCGUGAGUGAAGAAGGUUUUCGGAUCGUAAAGCUCUGUUGUAAGUCAAGAACGAGUGUGAGAGUGGAAAGUUCACACUGUGACGGUAGCUUACCAGAAAGGGACGGCUAACUACGUGCCAGCAGCCGCGGUAAUACGUAGGUCCCGAGCGUUGUCCGGAUUUAUUGGGCGUAAAGCGAGCGCAGGCGGUUUGAUAAGUCUGAAGUUAAAGGCUGUGGCUCAACCAUAGUUCGCUUUGGAAACUGUCAAACUUGAGUGCAGAAGGGGAGAGUGGAAUUCCAUGUGUAGCGGUGAAAUGCGUAGAUAUAUGGAGGAACACCGGUGGCGAAAGCGGCUCUCUGGUCUGUAACUGACGCUGAGGCUCGAAAGCGUGGGGAGCGAACAGGAUUAGAAACCCCUGUAGUCCCAUG
rnacentral:rRNA from 1 species